rnacentral:tRNA from 1 species
GGAGUGAUCACUCAAUGGUAGAGAACAGGACUUGCAUGCCUGAGGCCCCAGGUUCAAUCCCUGGCAUUGCCA